GCUUUUUUUGUUCCUUGGAUUUCAGAAAUAAUGUUUCAGUCUAGUUCUUUGUCAUGUUGCACAAACACAUGAGCAAUACUUUUCAAGCUGCCAUAUAUGUACACUGUGAUAUUAGCCUUUCAAAGACAUAAAAAAAGGACUUGAAAACCUAAAUAUAUAGCUCCAAUUAGUGUAAACUGAUUGUAUAGUUUUUCAACAUUUCACAUCACAAUUGAAAUAAUUAAAAAUUGAUAAGAUUUUAAACAAAACCUGAUAAGCUUGUAAGACGUGAAUGGAAUAUUUUUAAAAUCGUACGUACUGAUUUAAUUGCAAUCAACGAUGAGACAAGUGAAGAGCUGCAUUUGUGGCGUGCGUUUUCUCCAUUUUCUCAAUCCUUCUUGCGUGAGAUUAAUUAUAUUAUCAUGUUUACUUUACGUGCAUGGCGCCUUUAAACUGGAUUUCUUUAUACAUACGUCUCUCGGAUGAAAACAAAAGUGUAGUCUAAUCGCAGCUAAGCUACACUUGAAUUUGUACCAAGUUAUUCCAAGAAUCUGAUAUGCUCGACUUGGGGGCCUUCAACUCACAACCCUCUUGUUUGUUUCUUCGACAUGAAUCACAUGAUAUCUACUUCCAAAUUUCUUCUAUUCACUUUCAAUAAUUAAACUUCAUAAUUGAGCUUUCAAACUUGCUGCAACCCUUUGUGCAGAAGGCUGCACUUUUACUUUAGAAGAAAAAAGCUGCCAAAGAUGAGCAACCUUUACUCAUUAAAAAAUUUGGAAAGUGUUAUAUGUUGUUCCAAUAGGGUCGGAAGCGUGUAAAUUAUUGUACUAAAAAAUCACACAAAGUUCAAUUCCCAGGGAAGAGAGGUGGAUCACAUGGAUCUCUUAAAUACCAAGUCUUUCCUUAGUCAGAAUAUCCCUUCUAUAGUAAUUUAAUAGCACAAUUAAAUACUACUAUUAUACCCUCAAAUAUUGAAAGAAAAAUAGGACAAAAAGAACAUAAGAGUUUUAACGAGGUUCGGUAAAUUAUACCUACGUCCUCGGGCACUAACACCAGAUGAUAACUUUACUAUCUCCAAAAUAUUACAAACAAAUAGAAUUCCUUAAGAAUUCUCAAAUGGGAGAAGAGAGAAAACUAAGAGAGAAAGAUUGGUUGGGAUGAAUUGAAAUGAGAAAUGAGAAGGCCUAUUUAUAGUUGAGGUUCAAGGACCAAACAAUAAAUAGCCCAUUAUCUCAAGGACCAAAAAAAAAAUUAUCCCUUGCCACUUUUCCAAAGUUGGUGGUUGUCAUUAUUGAUUGUCUCCCAUUAAUGUUAAUGGCAACCAUUAUUAAUUGUCUUCCAUUAAUGUUAAUAAUCUCCACCUUGAAGAUUUGAUUAGGAUAAUCACAUCUUCACACACUUCCUUCAACUCCCCAAAUUCGAUAAAGCUAUCUUUUGUAGUGCCUACAAAUGCGCUCUCGAGCGCCAUACACCUGAAGGUGCUCAAAUUCUCAGGAUGUUAAUCAAGUUCAAACAAUGAUUAAACUUGAUAGUUGUUACCACCUUGGUCAUCAUAUCUGCGGGAUUAUCUGUUGUCGGAAUCUUCUGAAGUAGAAUUUUUCCUUUUUCAAAGACUUCCCGCACAAAGUGAUAUCUUACUUCGAUAUGCUUGGUUCUUGAAUGAUAGACUUGAUUUUUCGCUAAAUGAAUAGCGCUCUGACUGUCACAAUAUAAACUUAUGUGACUUUGAACAACUCCUAAGUCUUUCAACAAUCCAUUAAGCCAAAUAGCCUCCUUAACAGCUUCUGUAACUGCCAUAUAUUCUGCCUCUGUAGUAGACACAGCUACUGUAGACUGUAAGGUAGACUUCCAACUCACUGGGGCUUUUGCAAGAGUAAACAGAUACCCCUUAGUUGAACGACGUUUAUCUAAAUCACCAGCAAAGUCGGAAUCAACAUAUCCAACUACAAACUGACCAAGUGCUUCAUCCUGUUCAAAAAUUAAACCAACAUCUACGGUUUUUCGAAGAUACCGUAGAAUCCAUUUCACAGCUUGCCAAUGUCCUUUUCCAGGAUCAUGCAUAUACCUGCUCACAACUCCAACAGCUUGUGAAAUGUUAGGCCUCGUACACACCAUCGCAUACAUCAAACUCCCAACUGCAUUAGCAUAUGGGACUUUCGCCAUAUAUUCUCUUUCUUCUUCAGUUUUCGGAGAUAAUUGAGCACUAAGUUUCAAAUGAGAAGCAAGUGGGGUACUUACAUGUUUUGUGUUUUCAUUUACACCAAAACAUUGUAAUACCUUUUUCAGAUAUUGCUUCUGAUUUAAACAGAGCUUGCCUCUCGGUCUAUCUCUACUUAUCUCCAUGCCGAGAAUCUUCUUGGCCUCACCUAGAUCUUUCAUCUCGAACUCUUGAUUCAACUGAGCCUUCAGCUUAUCUAUCUCAUUUUGGCUCUUUGAAGCGAUUAACAUAUCAUCAACAUACAAGAGUAGAUAAAUGAAAGAUCCGUCAUGCAGCUUCUGCAAAUAUACACAAUUGUCAUAUUUGCUUCUUGUGUACUUCUGCCUUCUCAUAAAGCUAUCAAAUCGCUUGUACCACUGCCUCGGGGAUUGCUUCAAUCCAUAUAGCGAUUUGUUAAGCUUACAAACCCAAUUUCUACCACCAGCAUCUGUGUAUCCUUCUGGCUGAGUCAUAUAGAUCUCCUCUUCUAACUCACCAUGCAAGAAAGCCGUCUUAACAUCAAGUUGAGCUAGCUCCAAAUUCAACUGUGCUACCAAGGCCAACAAAAUUCUAAUGGAGGAAUGCUUCACAACAGGAGAAAAUACAUCAUUUUAGUCAAUUCCCUCCUUCUGAGCGUAGCCUUUAGCUACCAAUCUUGCCUUGUAGCGAAUAUCCUUCUUGCUAGGAGAUCCAUCUUUCUUUGCGAAUACCCACUUGCAUCCGAUUGCCCUUUUACCUUUCGGUAAUUGCGCCAACUCCCAAGUAUUGUUCUUCCGGAGAGACUGCAUUUCUUCAUCCAUGGCGCUUUUCCAUUUAUCACUUUCUAAGCUUUGCAUUGCUUCUUGAUAAGUGAUAGGAAUAUCAUCAACAACGGGAAGGGCGUAGGCCACCAUAUCAGUAAAUCGAGCAGGUUUACGAAUUUCUCUCCGUGGCCUUACAACUGCAACUGGUUCUGGUGUACUUAGUGGUUCUUGGGUCAGAACCUCUUCAACCUCUAAUUCCUCCAUUGUGGCUGGAGAAUUAGACUUAUUAAUUGGGCAAAUCCCCAUCUGCUCAAACUCCACCUGUUUUGGAGUACACUCCACCUGCUGUGGAGUAUUGCUCGUCUGAAUAUCUUUAUCUGCUACCUUUUUCAAUGUGGCAGAUUCAUCAAAGGUAACAUCUCUGCUACAGAUCAUUUUCUUUGUGCUUAAGCACUAAAGACGAAAUCCCUUCACUCCAGAAGUGAUUCCCAUAAAGAGAGCUUUCUUUGCCCUCGGAUCUAACUUUGACUCCUUCACAUGGUAAUAUGCAGUGGUUCCAAACACAUGUAAGGAAUCAUAAUCUGUAGCCGGUUUUCCAGAUCAUACCUCCAUAGGAGUUUUUCUUUCUAAUGCAGAUGAUGGCAAACGAUUAACAAGAUGGCCAGCGUAUGUCACAGUCUUAGCCCAAAAUUGCUUGCCCAACCCAGCAUUGGACAACAUACAUCGAACUUUCUCCAGCAAUGUUCGAUUCAUACGCUCUGCCAAUCCAUUCUGCUGUGGUGUAUCCCUAACUGUGAAGUGUCGAACAAUACCAUACUCUUGGCACACAUCGAAGAACGGAUCACUUUUAUAUUCCCCUCCAUUGUCCGUCCUAAGCCGCUUGAUUUUCUUGCCAGUCUGGUUUUCGAUCAUAGUUUUCCAUUUAAGAAAAACUCUAAGCACUUCAUCCUUAGUUCUCAUGGUAUACACCCAAACUCUUCUGGAAAAGUCAUCAACAAAAGUAACAAAGUAGUGUUUUCCUCCCAAUGAAGGUGUCUUGGAAGGCCCCCACACAUCUGAGUGAACAUAUUCCAAAAUACCUUUUGUAUUAUGGAUAGCAGUACCGAAUUUCACUCUCUUUUGCUUUCCCAGAACACAAUGCUCGCAAAAUUUUAAUUUGCAAGCCUUUGCACCUUUCAACAAUCCUUGCUUUGCCAGAAUUUGCAAGGAUUAUUCGCUGGCAUGUCCCAACUUCAUAUGCCACAACUGUAUUGAGUCCAAUUCUUUGUUGCCGGAAGCUGCAGCGACUGCUCCAAUAACUGUACUACCUUGGUAGUACUACCUUGGUAGUAAUACAAGUUAUUUUUCCUGACGCCCUUCAAUAUCACAAGUGCGCCAGAUGUCACUUUCAAAACCCCAUCUCUCAUACUAACAACUGAACCAUUGGAUUCCAAGGCUCCCAAUGAGAUGAGAUUUUUCUUCAAACUGGGCACGUACCGAACAUCAGUCAGAACUCUGGUUGAUCCAUCUUUAUUCUUUAAUUUGGAUUGAACCUAUCCCAACAGUUUUACAGGCAUUGUCAUUGCCCAUAUAAACAACUCCUCCAUUUAGUUCUACUAAAUCAGAGAACCACUCCUGGUUAGGGGACAUAUGAUAGGUACAACCCGAAUCCAAUAUCCACUCAUCUGAAUGGAACGACGAUGAUGAUGCAACCAGUGAUAGUUCAGAGUCACUAGUAUCAUACUUAGCAACACAAGCAUCUACAGCAGCUUUUCCCUUAUUCUUCAGCUUUGGACAAUUUUUCUUCCAGUGGCCUUUCUUAUGACAAAAAGCACAUUCAUCUUUCCCGAGUCUGGACUUUGACUUUGAUCUCCCCUUUUGAGUUUUCUUCCGAGUGUAUGAACGACCUCGGACUACUAAAGCUUCUGUAUCUCUGAUUGAGUUUUUCUGUUUGUCCUUCUUUCUCUGUUCAUAACUGUAUAAGGCCGCACAGACUUCGCUCAGAGAUAUAUCACUCCUGCCAUGAAGUAGAGUAGUUUCUAGGAACUCAAACUCCUCAGGAAGUGACCCCAACAGCAUCAAAGCCAAAUCUUCAUCUUUGAAUGUCUCAUCCAUAUUCAGCAAAUCAGUGACUAACUGAUUAAAUUUGGUGAUGUGAUCAUUCAUUGUGGUACUUGGGACGUAUGUGAAGCGAAACAGUCUUUUCUUCAAGUGGAGCUUAUUUUGACUGUUUUUCUUCAAAAAAUUUUCUUCAAGUACCACCCACAACUUAUUUGCAGAAGUCUCCUUUGAAAAAGCAUACCUCUGCUCUCGAGAAAGGCAUGAUCGAAUUGUGCCACAUGCCAACCGAUUGAUCGCCUUCCAAUCUUUCUCCUGUACAUCAUCUGGUUUCUCUUCAUCAAUGGCAAUGUCUAGACCCUGCUGAAAAAGGGCAUCUAGAACCUCACUUUGCCACAUACCAAAAUGGCCCGUGCCAUCAAAGAUCUCCACGGCCAAUCUUGCAUUUGCAAUUGUCGGUCUUGUCCACAUGGACGAUGUUGAAGCUCCUACACCGACCGUUUUCUCCAUAAUCUUUCAAUAUACCUAAGGAAAUCUUUUCUGAUGUGGAAGAUCAGUUUAAACUGCAACCACAGAGCAUACUACGAUUAACCUUCGGCUCUGAUGCCACUUGUUGUUCCAAUAGGGUCGGAAGCGUGUAAAUUAUUGUACUAAAAAAUCACACAAAGUUCAAUUCCCAGGGAAGAGAGGUGGAUCACAUGGAUCUCUUAAAUACCAGGUCUUUCCUUAGUCAGAAUAUCCCUUCUAUAGUAAUUUAAUAGCACAAUUAAAUACUACUAUUAUACCCUCAAAUAUUGAAAGAAAAAUAGGACAAAAAGAACAUAAGAGUUUUAACGAGGUUCGGUAAAUUAUACCUACGUCCUCGGGCACUAACACCAGAUGAUAACUUUACUAUCUCCAA
rnacentral:lncRNA from 1 species